rnacentral:rRNA from 1 species
UACGUAGGUGGCAAGCGUUGUCCGGCUUUACUGGGGGUAAAGAGCGCGCAGGCGGUCGUUCAAGUCGCGUGUGAAAGCCCCCGGCUCAACUGGGGAGGGUCACGCGAUACUGAUCGACUCGAAGGCAGGAGAGGGUAGUGGAAUUCCCGGUGUAGUGGUGAAAUGCGUAGAUAUCGGGAGGAACACCAGUGGCGAAGGCGACUACCUGGCCUGUUCUUGACGCUGAGGCGCGAAAGCUAGGGGAGCAAACGGG